rnacentral:rRNA from 1 species
AUUGAACGCUGGCGGAAUGCUUUACACAUGCAAGUCGAACGGCAGCACGGGGCAACCUGGUGGCGAGUGGCGAACGGGUGAGUAAUAUAUCGGAACGUGCCCAAUCGUGGGGGAUAACGUAGCGAAAGUUACGCUAAUACCGCAUACGAUCUACGGAUGAAAGCGGGGGAUCGCAAGACCUCGCGCGAAUGGAGCGGCCGAUAUCAGAUUAGGUAGUUGGUGGGGUAAAGGCUCACCAAGCCAACGAUCUGUAGCUGGUCUGAGAGGACGACCAGCCACACUGGAACUGAGACACGGUCCAGACUCCUACGGGAGGCAGCAGUGGGGAAUUUUGGACAAUGGGCGCAAGCCUGAUCCAGCCAUUCCGCGUGCAGGAUGAAGGCCUUCGGUUGU